AAGAAUAAACAGACUUUAGAGGUAUUCUAAAGAGACCCCACUACAUUACCUCAAAGCAUUUACUUUUUACAAUUCUUACACAAAGCCUGUUAGGUACAAACCCAAAUUCUGAAAAAGUUGGGACAGUAUGGAAAAUGCUAAUAAAAACAAAAGGGAGUGAUAAGUAAAUUCUAUUCUACAACAACACAUUAUUUUGAUGUUUUACCUUGUGAAUAAUUUUUUAUGUAUGGUAACACUUUACAAUAAGGUUGCAAUUGUUAACAUUAGUUAAUGCAUUAGUUAACAUGAACUAACAAUGAACAACACUUAUUUACAGCAUUUAUUAAUCUUUGUUAAUGUUAAUUAAUACAAAUACUAACACAGUUCUUAACAUUAAAAAGAUUUAUAAGUUAAAAUUACUUAAUGCAUUAGCUAACAUUAACAAUGAACAACACCCUAAACACCCAAUCUUUAGGUAGGUGGUACGUAUCAAAGUAACAUCCACAUGAAUGCCAGGACCCAAGGUUUCCCAGCAGAACAUUGCCCAGAGCAUCACACUGCCUCUGCUGGCCAGCCUUCUUCCCAUGGUGCAUCCUGCUACCAUUUCUUCCCCAGGCGCUUUUGAUGGUGGACGGGUCAGCAUGGGCACUCUGACCGCUCUGCAGCCCCAUACACAGCAAGCUGUGAUGCACUGUGUGUUCUGACACCUUUGGCCAGCAUUAAGUUUUUCAGCAAUUUGUGCUACAGUAGCUCUUCUGUGGGAUUGGACCAGAUGGGCUAGCCUUCGGUCCCCACGUGCAUCAAUGAGCCUUGGGCGCCCAUGACCCGGUCGCCAGUUCACCGGUUGUCCUUCCUUGGACCACUUUUAAUAGCUACUAACCACUGCAUACCGGGAACACCCCACAAGACCUGCCAUUUUGGAGAUGCUCUGACCCAGUCGUCUAGCCAUCACAAUUUGCCACCUAAUAUAUCCCACCCCUUGACAGGUGUCAUUGUAACGAGAUAAUCAAUGUUAUUCACUUCACCUAUCAGUGGUUUUAAUGUUAUAGCUGAUCAAUGUAUACGCUCUGUACACUGGGGGAAUCCUGGAGUUUUAUGUAAGAGGGAAACCACCACUUCUGCAUUGCAAUUCAGCUGCAGGUCGUGAUAGUGAGUUAAGGAAACAAACACAGCAACAACUCUGGAAUAUCUGGAAAUAAAGCGAAUCCACAGAAAGUAAAAUAUUGAAGUAUUCCUUGGAUGCCAUGUGUGUUUACACAAGCAUUGCGAGAAAAUUAUGUUGCUGUGGAGAAAGCUGCUUACUGACGUGGCCACAUGUAUAUGGGAGUAAAGAGUACAGCACUUAAACUGUGCAUGUAAACGGGAACGCUGUUUCUCGCAACGACUCACUUUCUCGUAAUAAGCCGCUUUCUGGUGUCCAUGUAACCAUAGUCAUUGUGGAAGAAAUUACUAAGUUGCAAAUUAAGGAAUAAACUUUAUUUUAUUUUUUUGAAGGAAACGUGAGCGGAGUUCUCCCAUGCAAAACGUAUUUGACAGUUUUCCUAUUCUUGUGUAUGUUGCUAAUGAUUUUGCUUUUUGAUUACUUUUCUUCUGCACAGUGCAGAAAAAUUUUCUCAAAACGACAUGUUUUGAUUGUUGAUUCGAUAGCGAUUCAAUAUUUUAAUGAAUGUGUUACAUUUGCUAUGUAAUGCUAAUAAAUGUCCUGCAAAUCUUUGGAAUGUGUGAAUUGCUUUACAAAAAGGACCUAAAAUUAAUGUUGUUUUUUUUUUUUAUUGUAAAAAAUGUUAGUAAAGAGCCUACAAACAUUAGUAACACAUUAGGUAAUGUUGAAAUAUGUUAUACUUUACAAUAAGGUUUACAAAUAUGCAUAGUAAAUACUUUAUUAUUAUUUAUCAUUAAAGAGUCAACAAACAUUCAUAACACAUUAAUUGAUGUUCAAACAGUUUCUGCUUUACAGUAAGGUUCAUACAUUUGCAUAAUAAAUACUUCAUUAUCAUUAUUUAUCAUUAAUUAAGAGUCAAUAAACAUUAGUAACGCAUUAAUUAAUGUUCAGACAGUUUCUACUUUACAAUAAGGUACAUUUGCAUAAUAAAUACUUCAUUAUUAUUAUUUAUCAUUAAUUAAGUCAACAAACAUUAGUAAAGCAUUAAUUGAUGUUCAGACAGUUUCCUCUUUACAAUAAGUUUCACAAAUAUGCAUAAUAAAUACUUUAUCAUUAUUUAUCAUUAAGAAUCAACAAACAUUAGUAACACAAUUGAUGUUCAAACAGUUUCUACUUUACAAUAAGGUUAAUAAAUUUGCAUAAUAAAUACUUCAUUAUCAUUAUUUAUCAUUAAUUAAGAGUCAACAAACAUUAGUAAAGCAUUAAUUGAUGUUCAAACUGUUUCCACUUUACAAUAAGUUUCACAAGAAUUUCACACACCAUUACACUUGUGUAUAUGGCUGUGUGACAAUAAAGUGAUUUGAUUGAUUUGAUUUGACAAAUAUGUAUAAUAAAUACUUUAUUAUCAUUAUUUAUCAUUAAGAGUCAACAAACAUUCGUAACACAUUAAUCAAAUAAAAAAGGGUUUUCACUUGUAUAUAUAAACUCAGCAAAAAAAAGAAACGUCCCUUUUUCAGAACACUAUAUUUUAAAGGUAAUUUUGUAAAAAUCCAAAUAACUUUACAGAUCUUUAUUGUAAAGGGUUUCAACAAUGUUUUCCAUGCUUGUUCAAUGAACCAUAAACAAUUAAUGAACAUGCACCUUUGUAAUGGCUGUUAAGACACUAACAGCUUACAGACGGUAGGCAAUUAAUGUCAUAGUUAUAAAAACUUAGGACACUAAAGAGAGCUUUCUACUGACUCUGAAAAACUCCAAAAGAAAGAUGCCCAGGUUCCCUGCUCAUCUGCGUGAAUGUGCCUUAGGCAUGCUGCAUGGAGGCAUGAGGACUGCAGAUGUGGCCAGGGCAAUAAAUUGCAAUGUCUGUACUGUGAGACGCCUAAGACAGUGCUACAGGGAGACAGGAAGGACAGCUAAUCGUCCUCGCAGUGGCAGACCACGUGUAACAACACCUGCACAGGAUCGGUACAUCCGAAUAUCACACCUGUGGGGCAGGUACAGGAUGGCAACAACAACUGCCUGAGUUACACCAGGAAUGCCCAAUCCCUCCAUCAGUGCCCAGACUGUCCGCAAUAGGCUGAGAGAGGCUGGACUGAGGGCUUGUAGGCCUGUUGUAAGGCAGGUCCUUACCAGACAUCACCGGCAACAACGUCACCUAUGGGCACAAACCCACCUUCGCUGGACCAGACAGGACUGGCAAAAAGUGCUCUUCACUGACGAGUCGUGGUUUGUCUCACCAGGGGUGAUGGUCAGACUUGUGUUUAUCUUCAAAGGAAUGAGCGAAACACAGAGGCCUGUACUCUGGAGCGGGACUGAUUUGGAGGUGGAGGGUCUGUCAUGGUCUGGGGCGGUGUGUCACAGCAUCAUCGGACUGAGCUUGUUGUCAUUGCAGGCAAUCUCAACACUGUGCGUUACAGGGAAGACAUCCUCCUCCCUCAUGUGAUACUCAUCCUGACAUGACCCUCCAGCAUGACAAUGCCACCAGCCAUACUGCUCGUUCUGUGCGUGAUUUCCUGCAAGACAGGAAUGUCAGUGUUCUGCCAUGGCCAGCAAAGAGCCCGGAUCUCAAUCCCAUUGAGCACGUCUGGAACCUGUUGGAUCGGAGGGUGAGGGCUAGUGCCAUUCCCCCCAGAAAUGUCUGGGAACUUGCAAGUGCCUUGGUGGAAGAGUGGGGUAACAUCUCACAGCAAGAACUGGCAAAUCUGGUGCAGUCCAUGAGGAGGAGAUGCACUGCAGUACUUAAUGCAGCUGGCGGCCACACCAGAUACUGACUGUUACUUUUGAUUUUGACCCCCCUGUGUUCAGGGACACAUUAUUCCAUUUCUGUUAGUCACAUUUCUGUGAAACUUGUUCAGUUUAUGUCUUAGUUGUUGAAUCUUUUUAUGUUCAUACAAAUAUUUACACAUGUUAAGUUUGCCAAAAAUAAAGCAGUUGAAAGUGAGUUUAUAUAUUUUUAUUAAGUAGUUAAGUAAAAUAACACCCAGGAACAUAAGUGAGUGACAAUUCUUUCGAUAUCCCUCCAACUUUUCUCCUCCACAAUUAAUGUUAUCAUAUACACCUUUCAAUGUAAGAAAUGUGUUAGUUGUAUGUACACUAUAUAUUAUUAUAGGCCUUCAUAUAAAUUAACAUUAAUAAACCUCUAAUAAAAGAGGUGCCGUUCCUUGUUAGUUCACAUGUAUCUAAAUGAACAUAAACAAAGAUUGAUUAAUGCCGUAAAAGGGUGUUGUUCAUUGUUAGUUCAUGUUAGCUAAUGCACACUGCCUGGCCAAAAAAAAAAGUCACCAUUUGGAUUUAAAUAAUGGUUAUGAUUUCCUUUUCUGCUUGCUAAACUUAUAAAAAACUUGUGUCUUCAAUGCGCAAACACUUAAUGAGUGUUAUCAGAUGAAAUAACGAUCGUACACUGUGGCAAACACUUGACUGUUCCAACUUUUUUGGAGCAUGUUGUGAUUUGAAAUGCGUAUUUAAAAAAAAAAAAAUACAUUAAUUAAAUUCACAAUCAAAUAAUGUGUUGUUGUAGUGCUUUCAAUAUAGCUCAGGGUGAAUAGAAUUUACAAAUCACUCCUUUUAUUGGCAUUUUCUAUACUGUCCCAACUUUUUCGGAAUUGGGGUAGUAAAAGGAAAGCAAAAAAGAAACUAAAGAUGACUGUAGAAACAAACUGGCACAAUUUAAAGAGUACAUUGUACUUCCAAAAUACCAUAUUUCUAUGAACACACAAGACUGAUGGAAACUUGUAAGGUUCCUCUGUGGGUACUAUACAAGUUUUCACUGUCAGGACUGAAGAAUAGGUUUAUAAGCACAACAGGUUAUACAUUUACUUUCAAAUCAGAGACAGUAGUAAUUAGUAUUUCCCAGUAGAUAUUUAAAAAGAUUUUAUUUGAAUGUGUAAAACAGAGUGAUUUAAAAUUAACAAAAUAUUAUCUUCUCACACAAAACUACCAUUUAAUGUCAUCAUUGAAAUACACUUAGUAGUGUAUAUAUAUAUUUUAGUUACUGAUGACCUAAUAAAGUUUGUCCCUCUUAUCAAACAUGUUUACUUUGCAAAUUUUUUUACAUUUAUAAUUAAUAUUUUUUUUUAGUAAUGGACAUUUUUUUUUCACCAUAUAAAAUACAUAACAAAAAGGUAUUCUGCACUUCUUUUGUGAUGAAUAUAUGUAUAAAACACAGAUAUUUAGUUACAAAAUGUGGCCUGAUGUUAUGGCUUCAUAUGUGAUACUUCUUUGUAAAACAAACAUCUUAAUUUGACUGAAGAUGGUUAAUGUUAAGUUUCUACCACAAAUGGCAUAUUUUACACACGUUUAGCAAGAAGUUAGUAUCUUCUCUGUUAGGGAACCUGUUGGGAACAAGAUAUCUGAAUUUCUGAUUUGUUCUGAUCAGAUGCCUUAAAACAAGAUUUCUAUAGUAACAUUAACAUUAAAUGAGUAACAGGUCAUUACCACCACAAGAUGGCGCUGUAACUUACCAAGAAACUCCUGUUUAUUCAUCCUCUUAUUUUCCGGUCCGCUGUAUUUCCUAACCCCCCUUCCUGUCCGAUCAAGAGACAACCACUUGCCCACCCUUAAGAUGAAAAUGCCCCCGCCCCCCUCACCCCCCAAAGAUUGCAUUUUUGCACUGUUCAGAGGGCAUUUAAGGUGAAACAAAGUGCCAAACAAAAAUGAUUAUGAGGAACUGAGUUCUGUGUGAUUACAUCUGAAAUUAUGCUUGAUUCAGGACCUUAUAUAUAUAUAUAUACUGAGCAAUAAUUAAUGUGCAAUACACAUCUUAGUCUUUUUAUAUUAUCUAACACAUCCAACCUCUUCUGCCAUUACAUUCCCUUGUAUGUAUGUUUUUCAAUAUGUAUUUAUUUAUAAUUAAUUUUUAAUUAUUUUUAAAAGUCUUGUUGCAGUUUUUGUAUUGUUGAGUACUGGAAGCUCCUGUCACCAAGACAGAUUCCUUGUAUGUGUAAGCAUACUGGCAAUAAAGCUCAUUCUGAUUCUUAUUCAUUCAGUCUGCCAAGACCUCAUAACAUUAUUGGUAUGGUUAUCCUUCAGCUAGCCCUAAAUCCUUCAGCAGCAGUGAAUGCAUAACAGUUAAAGAGGAAAACCUGUCCUUGUGCCUUUUGUAACCUCUUUUCACUCUAGAUUUUGGUAUUUGAUGUGGGGUCGUUCGCACCAAACAAUAAUUCCUUGCUUGGAAAGGCCUUGAGAAUGCUGUUACAUGGAAGGGAAGGACAGAAGGAUAAGGAGGGACAAAACCUCUGUACCAUCCCAUUUAAUCCUGCAAUGUGGGUGAAUUGACUUGGAUCAAGUUAAUACUUGGACCAAUUAGAUCUUUCUCUGUUUGACUUUCUUUUUUUACAUGGAACACACAAGGAGAUGCCUUGAUGAACAUCAUGGUCUUUCUUUUCAUUAAGCUACAAUUUUGCUUAGCGCCAAAAACAGUCAUCGCGUAAAGGUGUGAAGAAGCUUCUCUCAUAGUGCUCACAAACAUGCACUGGGUAAGUUACGACAAAAUGUUAAUUUUUAGGUGAACUAUUCCUUUAAUGUAUCUAGGUAUUUCCUUCAGGAGCAUCAAGUGGAGGUUUUAGAAACUGAGAGAAUGAAACAGCGAGAAAGCAGGUGCCCCAAGUAACUUUUUCUUUGAGCCGCUGCAUCGGUGGCCUCUGAAACAGACAGGCAACCUUUGCUUGGCCUUCAGCUCCUCUCACUUAUUUAUAAUGCAGACUUCAUAAAAGUUUGAGCACAACUGAGCCAACGAUCGUUACUGGUCCAGAAUGUGGAUGAGGAAAAUCACAUAGAGCACAUAAUAUGAAGAGAGCUCUAAGAGUACAGAAUAUGUUCCACAUCCAUGUUCCAGAUGAAAAAUAAAUAAAUAAAAUACGAAUCUGCAAAACAGAAGAAAUGUAAAAAAAAAAAAAAAAAAAAUGUUCAAUGCAGUUUCCUGGUCUGCUGUUUAUACUUAGUCACUGAAACUGAUUUCCUUCCAGGUUAGUUAAUGAUAAAAUUAGAAGUAAUAUUUAUUUGUGUGGAAAAAAUAAAAUGUUGAAUUGAACAAACAUGGAUAUAAUCACCAAGCAGACAUAUAGACAGUUUAGUGUGUUGAAGUGAAUGCUCUUAGUUUGUGGAACAUGAGGCAGCAUCAUAGUCAAGCACACAGUUAAAUAUUCAGUGGCCCCAGGGAUUAAAUAGACUUGACUAGUCUAUUGUUAAUAGCAUAGCCUGUAUUUUUCUAAGACGAGUUACGGCAACAUAUGAUGGUGUUUGAAAGAAUCUUUCUUGUGAAAAAAACAAACAAAACAACAACUUCAAGCAAGUUCUAUUAGAUUUGCCUUUUCAUCAAAAUCUGGGUUACAGUGAGGCACUUACAAAUGUAAGUGAAUGAGGCCAGUCAGAAAACGUUAAAAUACUCACUGUUUCAAAGACAAACAAUAUACUUGUAAACAUGAUUUUAGUGGGAUAAAUGUUAUGUUAAUGUUAGUAAGUGAUUUAAGUGUUAAGUUAUCCAAUUUUACAAUUUUGUUGCCAUGACGACGACAAUGUAAAUCCUAAAAUGACUGUAAAAAUUACGAUUUAAACAACUUUACAGCUCAAAUAAUACAUGAGUUUUAACAGAAGUAUUGUAAGUGCUUUUAAAAAUUAUUAGCUUCACAUUUUUGCCCUUAAACCCUCCAAAAAUUGUCCCUAUUCACUUCAAUUGUAAGUGCCUUACUGUAAUCUUGAUUUUUGCCCUUUUAAAUAUCGGGAAUGCCUGAUUAUUGUUUUUUUUUAACAAUAAUUUACUGUAAAAAGUGCAUGUACUCUCUUGUUAAACAAUGUAAAUUUUUACCAUUAAUUAUACAGGAAAAUCAUACUUUACAUCUAAAAAAUUACAUUUUUACAACAUUUUAUUGUAAAAACUACUGUAUUGUCUUUUAAUAUAUAUAUAUAUAUAUAUAUUUUACUGUAUAUUUUACAGUUAAUACUCGUUAAUCAAAGUUUUUUUUCCUGUACCAUUUUUACAGUCUUUUACUGUUAAAAUUACAGAAAUUUUACAGUGUGAGGCUUAAACAACAAUCAUAUCAACAUAUCAUUUCCCUCUGAUAUUUGAGAUAGUUUAUAGAUAGGGCUGGGAUUAGAGAUAGGGUAAGGACUAUGAUUAUAUGGCAGGAGUGCUGUUCAAGGACCAAUAAUAGAUGCUUAUCCAGGAGCAUGACUUGUCGAAAUGACGAUGACACAGGCAACUCAACCCUGAGAGAUAUACAACAACAGACAUCCAUACAAGAACAGUGAGGAGGCAGUGUGCACACAAAGAAGUGCAAAGAAGCUUUCCUAAGGGGAUAAUAAAGUACCUAUUUAUUAACAUGAAAUCCAAAUUUACAAGGUUAACAGAAAAAGAAGCACAUCCAGUACAAUUAUUUGAGCAUUCCUAAUUUUACCCAGUAACUAACAAUGAUUCAUUUCAGCGUGACUGUUAACUGCGCUCUCUGGUGCCAGAGGAAGACUCUUCCUCGUUUUGGCCUGUGGAAAUGCAAGCGUAUGCACAUUACUAUGAAUGAAAAAAAUUAAAUCAACACUAAGACAAAGAAAAUAAGACUUAAAAGCAAAUAACAUUCUCAUUUGUAAGGAUUGCCAAUUGUUUUAGUAGGCAAAGAACAGAAUACUAUCCUUAAAUACAAUUCUUCCAAAGAAACAAAACAUACAACCACAAAUGUGCAUUUUUGCCACUUUGUACAAAUACAAAAGUCAAAUCUACAGAAAUUAACAACUUUAUGCACACUGAGGUAAAUGAUAAACAUUGGUCAAAAGAGAGGUAUUAUGCUUUGACAUUAAAUGUUUUUGUGUUUUGUGCUGAAGCAUAUUUAUUUUUUUUGUAAGACACUUCAAUCUGACAAACAAUGAAGCUAAACAUUUACACCGACCUUGAAGUAAAAAAAAAAAAUAAUAAUAAUAAAAUAAAAAAAAAGCUUUUGUAGAGUAACCUACACAGAGGAAAUGCUAGAAGAAAUUCUGAAUAGCAAAUUAACUCUGUACUUGAACAUCAACCUUGGAAUAAACAAAGAAGAACAGAGUACAAAGUACAUCCUUCCAAUAUGAGGAAAUCGUUAGAGAUAUGAAAAAGGCCCACUUUGGGCCCUUUUUUAUGUGUUUUGGGGGUUGAGAAUACCAGUAUCUUAUGACCCCAUACCCAGAUGGAAUCUGCAGAUUAUUUUAAUUUUUUUUGUGUGUGCGCAUUUUCUGUGCUGAUUUUGAGGGAAAAUUUGCGGAAGGGAUUUAAACAUGGUAAAAUGUGUUAAAUAGAGCUGUGAGUACUACACUCUUAUUGAUAGCUGAAAGCAUCAUGAAAUUAGGCAAAAUAUUUAAUAAACAAACAUGUGAGGAAUGUGUAAAAUAUUUAUGAAUAAAAGAUGUCACAAUUCUGCAGAAAUCGGAGGAGUUUUCUGCAGAGAUCUGUGCACGCAGAUUCUGUCUGGCCCUGGACUUUACAGAAAGCGCAUAUCUUUAUAAAAUAGAGGCACUUGUUUUGCAUCAUGCACUGUAGAGCACAGUAAGUUUGAAAUCCAUCUUGCAUAUCACAGCUUAAGUAUUUCUGGUUGCAUCCUAUUUCAUUUCCUCCCCUUAGUGCUAAUCAGCCUGAGGCUUUCCAUUUAUAACUCAUCAGUGCAUACAUUCUUUUAAUUAAUGCUAGACAGGGUUCAGCUUGUAGGAAAGUGACAGCACUCAUCACAUGGAGCUGUAGUGCUACAGUAGCGUGACCACCUUACAACCUCACAUUCAAAACACUGCAUGUUCAAAGUGACUGUGUAGUCGCAGGAAAGUUUCGUAUUAAGGUUUCCAUUUUUCAUUUAUAAAAAUAUGUACAAUGACUCUACAAGACUUCAAUAAGUGUCUAUACAUUAACAUGAAUGCAUUAGUUAUCAGGAAAUAACAAUUAACAAUAUCUUUAACAGCAUUUAUUAAUCUUGGUUAAUGUGAAUCUAUAAAUAUACCAUUGUUCAGGGGCCUGGGUAGCUCAGUAGUAAAAGACGCUGGCUACCACCCCUGGAGUUUGCUAGUUCGAAUCCCAGGGCGUGCUGAGUGACUCCAGCCAGGUCUCCUAAGCAACCAAAUUGGCCCGGUUGCUAGGGAGGGUAGAGUCACAUGAGGUAACCUCCUCGUGGUCGCUAUAAUGUGGUUCGUUCUCGGUGGGGCUCUAUGAGCGUGGAUGCCGCGAAGCCUCCACACGCACUAUGUCUCCAUGGCAACGCGCUCGACAAGCCACGUGAUAAGAUGUGUGGGUUGAUGGUCUCAGAUGCGGAGGCAACUGGGAUUCAUCCUCUGCCACCCGGAUUGAGGCGAAUCACUACGCCACCACAAGGACUUAAAAGCACACUGGGAAUUGGGCAUUCCAAAUUGGGAGAAAAAACAUACAUAUAUAUAUAUAUAUAUACACACACACACACACACACACACACACACACACACACACACACACACACACACACACACACACACACACACACACACACACACACACACACACACACACACACAC